CCACAAAGUUUAACGGCCGCGGUAUCCUGACCGUGCGAAGGUAGCGUAAUCAUUUGUCUUUUAAAUAGAGACCUGUAUGAAUGGCAUAACGAGGGUUUAACUGUCUCCUUCCCCUAGUCAAUGAAAUUGAUCUGCCCGUGCAGAAGCGGACAUAAACACAUAAGACGAGAAGACCCUAUGGAGCUUUAGACAAAAGAUCAAACAUGUAAAGAAACCAAACCAACCAAAAGGAACACGAAGGCCACAAAACCCAACGUAAACUGAUCUAAAUGUCUUCGGUUGGGGCGAC
rnacentral:rRNA from 1 species